UUCUUCCCUUCCUCAUUCCUCUUUUAUCUCUCUCCUUCCCCCUCCUCCUCCACCUCCUCCUGCUCCUCCUGUUCUCCCUGCAGUUUUGGGUACAGCUAACCCUGCUCCCAUCCUCCUGCAUCCGGCUAACCUGACCAGCCAGGCCAGUGCUGUGCAGGUUUUUCAGCUGCCUGAUGGCCAAUUUCUGUUCCCUAUUGAAUACCUGAUGCCAGUGCACGACGCCCGCCCCGCUGCAGCCACCCCGAGCCCCUGCUGCUCACAGAAAAGGAAGCGUGUAAAUGACGAGCUGCCGUAUAUAAAGAAGCCACCCAACGCCUUCUUGCUCUUCUUGAAGGAGCAGAGGGCGGCUGUGGUGGCUGAGCUCGGCAUCACCGGGAGCGCGGCCGUGAACACCGUCUUGGGGGAGAGAGUCCUUGUCUUCUGAGCAGCAGGCAAAGUAUUUUCAGGAGGCCAAUCAGUUGAGGCGGCAGCACGAGCAACAACACCCCCACUGGUCCAGCAUGGACAACUAUGUACGUACGCUGUGCUCAGACACGAUCACCUCACGGCACUGACGCUGAUGAACGGUGACAGCAAAGAUUUCCUAUAACCUGAUAUCAGAGGAAAAAUCUAAUGUGUCUUUUUCUGUGUUUUUAGGGCCAGAGGAGGAAGAGGAGGCGCCAGAGGAGCACAGCUCCCAGCAACUCUGGAGCUUCCUCUUCUCAGCCCGAGAUGGGUCUUCAGGGGUCAGCUUC